rnacentral:lncRNA from 1 species
UCUCUGCAGCCUCGACCUCUUGAGCUCAAGCAAGCCUCUCCACUCGGCCUCCAGAGUAGCUGAGACUACAGGCACACACCAUCACACCUGGCUAAUUUUUUAACUUUUGUAGAGACAAGGUCUUGCCAUGUUGGCCAGGCUGGUCUCAAACUCUUGGGCUCAAGUGAUCCUCCUGCUUUGGCCUCACAAAGUGCUGUAAUUACAGGCAUGAGCCACUGCGCCUGGCCAACAACAUUUUUUUCUAUUGAAUUAUAAGGCUGACUUUAGGAUAUUUCAGUUUAAUAGAAUCAUCAUCAUCAUUUAAGUAUUUACUAUGUACCACAGUAUAAGCAUUUUACAAGAAUGUCAUAGGUAACUUUCAAUACAACUACCAAGACAGGUGCCAUUAAUAGUUGCAAUUGACAGAUGAGGAGCUUGAGUCUCUCAACAGUUAUGUAAGCUGCCCAAGACCACAUAGCUACUAAUUUUUACUUGUAAGUGCAAGAAAAAUUCCCAUACUCAGGAAUGUCUGGCCUUACCACCUCCUUUCCCAUGUGUCUGUCUUUGAACACCUGGUGUGGCCACGUGAGGAGCAUCAAGUUGUCAUUUCCACUCAUCCUUCAUCAAACAUACACAGAGAGGUGAAGAAGGGCUGGUCUGAUGGGCCAUAGAAGACAGUUGGCCCAUAGUUUCUACGGUAAGAACCUUUCUAAGUAUUCAUCCCCAUGCAUGAGGCCAAUUUAUAAUAGGAAGUGAAAAUCAAAAUG